UACAAAGCACAAACUGUUCUGCAGUGUAGCAAACGUUCAAGCAAACUGAACGCACCCCUGGUUUAGGGCCAAAUUGGAACAAAAUCCAGUCAUUGACGGAGCGAGAUUGUUUUGACAGACACCGAAGAUACGCGAUCUUAGCCGUCCGAUGACUAGCUGACAGCGCACUGCACCGCAACAUAGACCACAUGUCGUCGCCUGUCAGGUUACGUAGCAGCUUCAAACCUGACAUCCAGUUGUCCAGUCUGUCUAUUGAGGAGCCAGAGGAUGCGAGCUGGCCUACACCAUGAGAGACCUUCCCCCCACCCCCCCACCCCGGGGUGCAUCUGUGGACCAAAAAACAACUCCGGGAUGCCACACACCUGUCGUUGACCGAGAACCAGAAGGAACUGGGCUUGAGAUGGGGCGAUCCCCUCA